AGCGAACGCUGGCGGCAGGCCUAAUACAUGCAAGUCGAACGGCUCUUCGGAGCAGUGGCGGACGGGUGAGUAACGCGUGGGAAUGUGCCCUUUGGUACGGAACAACACAGGGAAACUUGUGCUAAUACCGUAUGUGCCCUUCGGGGGAAAGAUUUAUCGCCAUUGGAGCGGCCCGCGUUGGAUUAGGUAGUUGGUGAGGUAAAGGCUCACCAAGCCGACGAUCCAUAGCUGGUCUGAGAGGAUGAUCAGCCACACUGGGACUGAGACACGGCCCAGACUCCUACGGGAGGCAGCAGUAGGGAAUCUUGCGCAAUGGGCGAAAGCCUGACGCAGCCAUGCCGCGUGUAUGAUGAAGGUCUUAGGAUUGUAAAAUACUUUCACCGGGGAAGAUAAUGACGGUACCCGGAGAAGAAGCCCCGGCUAACUUCGUGCCAGCCGCCGCUGUAAGAC
rnacentral:rRNA from 1 species